UCCAGCGGCCAUAGCGCAAUAUAUUCACCAGUUCACAAUAGAUCACUGAAGUUAACCAACGUUGUGCGUGGUUGGUAUGGGAACAAUUUGGGCAAUCACGUGCCGCUGGCU
rfam:Asian citrus Psyllid, Diaphorina citri - Florida Strain, whole genome shotgun sequence.